GCCUGAGGGCAAAAGGGGAUAGGGACGCGGCACCACACAAAAAGGUUCAGACUCAGUUGAAAGUCUGGGUGCAAUGCCAAUUUAUUAAGAGACAACAGGGACUUAUAUAGGGUAAGGCUGAGGGGAGGAUUCAUAACUGGGGCGGAGCAUGAGAUUGACAACUAGGGGUGAGACAGGAUUGGGAGACAGGGGAAAGGUGGGUGUAACUUAUGGGUAUCCAGGGGAAAGGACCAAUGGGAGCUCACUCUGCACUGCAGCAAACCUCAGCCAAUCAGUGACAGAGGAGCGGGAAAGCCGGGGAGAACAGGGGAGUAAACAACUUUUGGCGGGAAAAUCUGAGGGACCAAGGGGAAUAACAUUAGGGUACAUUAAACUGGGUAUGAAACUGGUAUUAAAAUGGGGGAUAACAGGUCAGUCCAGUAGAAUAACAGUCCAUUCAGGCUCUGUAAAUGUCUCUAUAUGC